AGGAAAGAGGAGGGAGAGGAAUCAGGAAAGAGGAACAAAAGUGAGGAGAAGUGGGAAGGGGCGAAAUCGAGUUUCUGGCUCCACCUCGGCUGUCCGCUCUUGCUGGUGGAAGCGAUCGGAGGGGCACUGAGAAGUAAUAGAAGACUCGCAGGCGGCACGGGGCGGUUUCCUAAAUAAUAGGGACAGGGGGCUUUCUCGGCUGAGCCUAAAGGUCCCAGCGCCUCUGGAGUUGGCUAGAGCUCAGUAGGUAUCACUUUGACUUUAUGGAAGAGAAAAAGGAACUCUAGAGAACAGAAGAAUGGCAGCUUUCCUUCACCACUUCCUUCCAUCAUGGUUUCUGCCUCACCACGAGCUUGUAACAAUGGAGCAAGUUGACUGUGCCUGACACCUCUCAAGCCAUGAGCCAAAAUAGGGCCUGUGCUGUUGAACUACAUCCCCAGCCCCUAUAUUGAUACUGAAAGCCGGAGGAAGGGAGAGAAAA